AACUCGCCUACAUGAAGUUGGAAUCGCUAGUAAUCGCUGGUCAGCUACACAGCGGUGAAUCCGUUCCCGGGCCUUGUACACACCGCCCGUCACACCAUGGGAGUGGAUUGCACCAGAAGUGGUUAGUCUAACCUUCGGGAGGACGAUUACCACUUUGUGUUUCAUGACUGGGGUGAAGUCGUAACAAGGUAGCCGUAGGGGAAC
rnacentral:rRNA from 1 species